rnacentral:rRNA from 1 species
CACAGUGUAGCAAUACAUGGGUGGCGACCGGCAAACGGGUGCGGAACACGUACGCAACCUUCCUUCAGGCGGGGAAUAGCCCAGAGAAAUUUGGAUUAAUACCCCAUAAUAUUUUGAGAUGGCAUCAUCUUAUUAUUAAAGCUACGGCACCUGGAGAUGGGCGUGCGGCUGAUUAGGUAGUUGGCGGGGUAAUGGCCCACCAAGCCUACGAUCAGUAGCUGAUGUGAGAGCAUGAUCAGCCACACGGGCACUGAGACACGGGCCCGACUCCUACGGGAGGCAGCAGUAAGGAAUAUUGGUCAAUGGACGCAAGUCUGAACCAGCCAUGCCGCGUGGAGGAUGAAGGUCCUCUGGAUUGUAAACUUCUUUUAUCUGGGACGAAAAAAGGGUUUUCUAACUCGUCUGACGGUACCAGCUGACUAAGCACCGGCUAACUCCGUGCCAGCAGCCGCGGUAAUACGGAGGGUGCAAGCGUUAUCCGGAUUCACUGGGUUUAAAGGGUGCGUAGGCGGGCAUUUAAGUCAGUGGUGAAAUACCUGAGCUUAACUUGGGAACUGCCAUUGAUACUAUUUGUCUUGAAUGUCGUGGAGGUUAGCGGAAUAUGUCAUGUAGCGGUGAAAUGCUUAGAUAUGACAUAGAACACCUAUUGCGAAGGCAGCUAACUACGCGAAUAUUGACGCUGAGGCACGAAAGCGUGGGGAUCAAACAGGAUUAGAUACCCUGGUAGUCCACGCCCUAAACGAUGAUUACUCGACAUUAGCGAUACACUGUUAGUGUCUGAGCG